rnacentral:rRNA from 1 species
CGCGUAGGGAUUUAUCGUUGGGUGGGGGAUAACCGUGGGAAACUGCGGCUAAUACCGCAUGACGCCUGUGGGCCAAAGGUGUGUGAGCACUGCCUGAUGAGGAGCCUGCGUCCGAUUAGCUAGUAGGUUGGGUAAUGGCUGACCUAGGCUGUGAUCGGUAGCUGGUCUGAGAGGAUGAUCAGCCACACUGGGACUGAGACACGGCCCAG